UACGUAGGUGGCAAGCGUUAUCCGGAUUUAUUGGGCGUAAAGGGAACGCAGGCGGUCUUUUAAGUCUGAUGUGAAAGCCUUCGGCUUAACCGGAGUAGUGCAUUGGAAACUGGGAGACUUGAGUGCAGAAGAGGAGAGUGGAACUCCAUGUGUAGCGGUGAAAUGCGUAGAUAUAUGGAAGAACACCAGUGGCGAAAGCGGCUCUCUGGUCUGUAACUGACGCUGAGGUUCGAAAGCGUGGGGAGCAAACAGG
rnacentral:rRNA from 1 species